rnacentral:rRNA from 1 species
CAAAAACAUGGCUCUUUGCAUGAUAUAGAGAGUCUGACCUGCCCGGUGGUAAAACGCUAAACGGCUGCAGUACUCUGACUGUGCAAAGGUAGCAUAAUAACUUGCCUUUUAAUUGAAGGCUGGUAUGAAAGGUUUGACGAGAGUAAAACUGUCUCUUUUAUUUUAGUUAGAAAUUAUUUUUUAAGUUAAAAAGCUUAAAUAUUAUUAAAGGACGAGAAGACCCUAUCGAGCUUGUAAAUAUUUAUUAAAUAUAAAUUAUUAUGAAAAUAUGUGUUUAAUUAGCUGUUUUUAGUUGGGGCAACUACGGGGCAUUAAAAACCCCCGCUUGGUUUAAGUUUGUAAAUGAUCCGACAUUGUCGAAUAAUAACUUAGUUACCGUAGGGAUAACAGCGUAAUUUUUUUUGCGAGAUCUUAUUAAUAAAAAAGAUUGCGACCUCGAUGUUGGAUUAGAAUAUACUUUAAGGUGCAGGAGCUUUAUAAAGUUAGUCUGUUCGACUAUUAAAUUUCUACGUGAUCUGAGUUCAGACCGGA